rnacentral:lncRNA from 1 species
CGACGACGAUCGGAUCAUCGGCGACGACGAUUGGAUCAUCGACGACGACGACGAAGAAGAAGAAGAAUGAGGAAAAAAAGAGGAGGAAAAGGAGGAUACGGAGAAGAAGAGGAAGAAAAAGAAGGACAAAAUUGUCAAUUUACAUUAUUAAUUAAUCAUGGUUAAAGCAUUUUAACUAUAAUUAACUAGAUUUUUCUAACGAAUAUUAACGGCAAGAACAUAUCUGAAUACAUUAGGACUUUUGCAAUGAUGACUUAUGAAAGUUGAACUUUGCAGGAAUAUAUCUGUUAUUCAUCAUAUUUGUAGGGAUCUGUAUGAAAUUAAGCUUUUUUUUUAAUAUAAAAAUAUUUAUAUUUUAUUUAAAAGGUAAUGAGGAAUUUAAACUUAUUUUUUUUAUAUUGAGUUGCUCUGUCCAACUUAGGACAUGUUUGGUUCACCUAUUUUAGACUAUGGAAUCGGAAUGGAAUUCAUUGAUUCCGAUGGUUGCCGUUUGUUUUAUAGGAAUCGGAUUCGAUUCCCAUUCCACUCCGGAAUGGGAAUGGCCAAAUUCAUUUACGAUGCAAUUCGGCUUUGAAUUCCGGAUUGACUCAUUCCAAAAAUAAACUAUUAAAAAUCCUCUUUCACCAACAUCUAUCUCAUCUCCCUUCGUCACUUUCCUCUCUUUUAAUCAAAACUCUCUCUCAAAAAUUUUAAAUUUUCAUUCCGAUUUUCAUUCCAAUAAUGAACCAAACAUUUUUAGAUGAUUCGUCGUUCCAUUUUUCAUUCCAAAAUAAUCCAAUUCUAUUUCUCAUUCAUAUUCCAAUCAUGAACCAAACAUGUCCUUACUACAGGUGAAUUUCCUC